rnacentral:rRNA from 1 species
UUGACCUCGGAUCAGGUAGGAAUACCCGCUGAACUUAAGCAUAUCAAUAAGCGGAGGAAAAGAAACCAACAGGGAUUGCCUCAGUAACGGCGAGUGAAGCGGCAACAGCUCAAAUUUGAAAUCUGGCCCCAGGCCCGAGUUGUAAUUUGCAGAGGAUGCUUCGGGCGCGGUGCCUUCCAAGUCCCCUGGAACGGGGCGCCACAGAGGGUGAGAGCCCCGUCUGGUAGGACACCUAGCCUGUGUGAAGCUCCUUCGACGAGUCGAGUAGUUUGGGAAUGCUGCUCUAAAUGGGAGGUAGACCCCUUCUAAAGCUAAAUACCGGCCAGAGACCGAUAGCGCACAAGUAGAGUGAUCGAAAGAUGAAAAGCACUUUGAAAAGAGGGUUAAACAGUACGUGAAAUUGUUGAAAGGGAAGCGCUUGUGACCAGACGUGCGCCGGGCGUUCAGCGGGCGUUCUCGCCCGUGUAUUCGCCCCGGCGCAGGCCAGCGUCGGUUUGGGAGGGGGGAUAAAGGCACCAGGAACGUGGCUCUCUAGGGAGUGUUAUAGCCUGGCGCGUCAUGCCCCCGCCCGGACCGAGGUUCGCGCUCCGCAAGGACGCUGGCGUAAUGGUCUCCAGCGGCCCGUCUUGAAACACGGACCAAGGAGUCGAGGUUUUGCGCGAGUGUUUGGGUGCUAAACCCGCACGCGUAAUGAAAGUGAACGCAGGUGGGAGCUUCGGCGCACCACCGACCGAUCCUGAUGUUCUCGGAUGGAUUUGAGUAGGAGCGUAGGGCCUCGGACCCGAAAGAUGGUGAACUAUACUUGGAUAGGGUGAAGCCAGAGGAAACUCUGGUGGAGGCUCGCAGCGGUUCUGACGUGCAAAUCGAUCGUCAAAUCUGAGUAUGGGGGCGAAAGACUAAUCGAACCAUCUAGUAGCUGGUUACCGCCGA